CAAGCAAAUAAUCAAAAGCUGCUGAUGGUGAUUAGAUUAGGUUAACAGUAGACAACAGCAGAACAGAAAAACAGAAGAAAAUCAAUUUCCACUACCACUAUUGUAUCUAUUGACCUGGGAGUCUUGCAGAAUAUGUUUUGCUUACCGGGAAAACAAAAUCAAUACAAUGUCAAUAUUCAACCAUUGUGGAAGAAGCCAAUUCAUCUCCCUAUUGUGUUUAUGAAAGCAUGUAAGAUAUGUAACAUAAUGCUCAUGACCUUUCAGAUUUCUGUCCACUUGGAGUGUGGAUGCUCUGGGGCUCAAGGCUAACACUUGGGAUUAUCACCCUGAGUGCUUGGGCAGGGAUUUGUAAGCCCCUGAUUCUAAUAUAAGGAAAAAAAAUCAGAAUGUCACUGCUAAUGAAAUGUGUGGGCACAACAGACUAGUGUUUUGUUUUUAUUUUUUCCCUGCAUGGACAUUUCUUAAUUCAACACACAGAGCUGGGUAAUUGGAACUUCAAUAUAGCACUGGCAACAUUAUUUUUUGAUGCAUCCAAAAAAUUAACACAACAUGAUCUUUAUGCUAAAUGGCCUAGAGGGGUAGUAGUGAGUGUUAUCUUAAAGCAUGAAACCUGCAUGGGUUUUCACUGAGGAUUAUUGUGUCACUGUUAAUGAUGACUUCUUUUUUUUUUUUUUGAGUUAAAAGUAGUUUUAGUUAGAAUGAUUAUUUUCUUUGUUUCCCCAGUGGUGCUUUGUCCAGGGCGUUCCCUUCCUUUUGCAUCACUUGGGGUAUGUUGAACCUAUAUUCUUUCCAAUGGCCAACAGGGGGCAAAUCCUCUGGUUUAAUAGGAACCACUAUUGUAUAAAACAAUCCAUUCGUUAAGCGGUGACGUAUGAACCCUGCUUCCGGGUCCAAACUACUAUUUAUUUAUUAAAGCUGUUGUGUUUUUAACAUGUUUUAUUGUUUUGUAUCUUGUUCUAUUUCAUCUGAACAAGCUCCUGAAAACAGUUACUGAUCACUGUCGGCCUCUCUGUGUUUUUAUUAUCACUAUUCAUUUUAAAGCUCGAUUUUUAAAACCUUAUGCUAUUACUACAGCCCAGCCCAUGCAGCAGAAUAUUAAUGACUAACCUUGUAUUGUGGAUGGAUUAUCUCAGUUGUUCCCCUCAGUUGUUGAAAAGUAACUAUUGCGUUACUUUAAAAAAAAUUUUAACCCUCUGGAGUCCAGGGUAUAAUUGGCCAUUUUUACCUACUUUUUGAUUUGACCUCUACAUUUCACCUUUAAAAACUAUUUACUUUGCUUUGUUUGGUAUCAUUCUUUUUAGCACAACCUCACGUGUCUGAAUUUACAGUUAUGUUUUCAUUUUGACAUACUGUAUUAACACAAUUGAUCUAAAAUCAGACAAAACACAUAAAGUCAGAGUAGAAAAAGUUAUAUAUUUUUUUGUAACAACCACAGACAUGUUUAUUGAAUC
ensembl:lncRNA